rnacentral:rRNA from 1 species
UCAGACGAUGCGUCAUGCAUAUCAAUAAGCGGAGGAAAAGAAACUAACAAGGAUUCCCUUAGUAACGACGAGUGAAGCGGGAAGAGCUCAAAUUUGAAAUCUUCAAGGUUUUACCUUGACGAAUUGUAGUUUAAAGAAGUGUUUUCUGCUGAAGUUUUGGUAAAAGUUCUUUGGAAUAGGACAUCAUAGAGGGUGAGAAUCCCGUAUUUGACCAUUAUUUUCAGCUGUGUGAUACACUUUCAAAGAGUCGGAUUGUUUGGGAAUGCAGUCCAAAAUGGGUGGUAAAUUUCAUCCUAAAGCUAAAUAUUGGCGAGAGACCGAUAGCGAACAAGUACCGUGAGGGAAAGAUGAAAAGAACUUUGAAAAGAGAGUUAAACAGUACGUGAAAUUGUCAAAAGGGAAGCGUUUGACACCAGUGUUGUUUUCUCGAAAAUCAAUUAAAAAUGAGUUAGAUUUUGUAUGUGUAUUGACCUUAACAGCUUGCACUGUACAUUUUUCGUGUGUCUUUUUUAAUGCACUUUUCGUUUAACAAGUCAACAUCAGUUUCUUUUGUUGUAAAAAGGUCAUUGGAAGGUGGCUUUCUUUUCGGAGAAAGUGUUUAUAGCCUUUGACUCCUGCAAUCGGAGAGACUGAGGUCUGCAGCGUAGAUCCUUCGGGGUUAGAUACAUUUGUGCUAAGUUAUAGCUUUUUAUAGACAACUUGUUGACUAUGAUUAGUCUUGUAGCUUACUCGCUUAUGCUAUUUUACCUACGCUUAGGAUGUUGAGUCGUAGAGCACGCAG